rnacentral:rRNA from 1 species
AGAGUUUGAUCCUGGCUCAGGAUGAACGCUGGCGGCGUGGAUAAGGCAUGCAAGUCGAACGAUCCAUGUACUUGUAUAUGGGUAGUGGCAAACGGGGUAGUAAUGAGUAGGAACGUACCCACAAGUCGUGAAUAACUGCGAGAAAUCGUAGCUAAUACACGAUAUCCCUACGGGGGAAAGAUUUAUCGCUCGUGGAACGGCCUACUUCGUAUCAGCUAGACGGUGAGGUAAAGGCUCACCGUGGCUACGACGCGUAGGGGAGGUGAGAGCCUGACCCCCACCAUUGGAACUGCGACACGGUCCAAACUCCUACGGGAGGCUGCAGUCGAGAAUCUUCCGCAAUGCACGAAAGUGUGACGGAGCGACGCCGCGUGAUGGAUGAAGUAUUUCGGUAUGUAAACAUCUUUUAUAAGUGAGGAAGUAUAUUGACGCUAGCUUAUGAAUAAGGGGCUCCUAAUCUCGUGCCAGCUGGAGCGGUAAUACGAGAGCCCCGAGCGUUAUCCGGAAUUAUUGGGCGUAAAGGGUCAGUAGGUGGCCAUAUUAGUCUCUUGUCAAAGACCCAUGCUCAACAUGGGGAAGGCAAGGGAAACGGUAUGGCUAGAGUCUGUGAGGGGUGUGCGGAACUCAAGGUGUAGGGGUGAAAUCCGUUGAUAUCUUGGGGAACACCAAAAGCGAAGGCAGCACACUGGCGCACGACUGACACUGAAUGACGAAACCCUGGGUAGCGAAUGGGAUUAGAUACCCCAGUAGUCCAGGGCCUAAACGAUCUUGAUUAGCUUUUGGGAGUAUCGACCCUCUCAGAGGCGUAGCUAACGCGUUAAAUCAAGCGCCUGGGAAGUACGAGCGCAAGCUUAAAACUCAAAGGAAUAGACGGGGACUUGCACAAGCGGUGGAUCAUGUGGUUUAAUUCGACGCUAAACGAAGAACCUCACCAAGGCUAGACAUCCUAUUCAGGCGGCACACGGGAAACCGAUAGUCGAUAUUGUGGUAGGACAGGUGUUGCAUGGCCGUCGUCAGUUCGUGGUUUGAAUUGUUCCCUUAAGUGGGGUAACGAACGAAACCCUCGUCGUGUGUUUUAUAUGUCACGCGAGACUGUCCCCUCUCUGAACAAGAA